CUGCUGCCUUCCGUAGGAGUCUGGUCCGUGUCUCAAUACCAGUGUGGGGGGCCUUCCUCUCAGAACCCCUACGCAUCGUCGCCUCGGUGGGCCGUUACCCCGCCGACUAGCUAAUGCGCCGCAUGCCCAUCCGUGGCCGGGAUUGCUCCCUUUGGCGGUCUUGGGAUGCCCCAAGGCCGCGUUACGCGGUAUUAGACGGGGUUUCCCCCGCUUAUCCCCCUGCCACGGGCAGGUUGCAUACGUGUUACUCACCCGUGCGCCGGUCGCCGGCAACGG
rnacentral:rRNA from 1 species